rnacentral:rRNA from 1 species
UACGUAGGGUGCAAGCGUUGUCCGGAUUUACUGGGCGUAAAGAGCGCGUAGGCGGUCUGUUAAGUGUGACGUGAAAUCUCCAGAGCUCAACUCGGAAACUGCUUCGCAUACUGGCAGGCUGGAGGAACGGAGAGGUGAGUGGAAUUCCUGGUGUACCGGUGAAAUGGGUUGAUAUCAGGAGGAACACCGAUGGCGAAGGCAGCUCACUGGCCGUUAUCUGACGCUGAGGCGCGAAAGCGUGGGUAGCAAACAGG